GCCUCCGUAGCUCAGCGGAUUAGAGCAGAGGGUUUCUACCCCUUGUGUCGCGGGUUCGAGUCCUGCCGGGGGCA
rfam:Corynebacterium resistens DSM 45100, complete genome.